rnacentral:rRNA from 1 species
UACGUAGGGGGCUAGCGUUGUCCGGAAUCAUUGGGCGUAAAGCGCGUGUAGGCGGUCCGGUAAGUCCGCUGUGAAAGUCGGGGGGCUCAACCCUCGAAUGCCGGUGGAUACUGUCGGGCUAGAGUGCGGAAGAGGCGAGUGGAAUCCUGGUGUAGCGGUGAAAUGCGCAGAUAUCAGGAGGAACACCAAUUGCGAAGGCAGCUCGCUGGGACGUUACUGACGCUGAGACGCGAAAGCGUGGGGAGCAUACAGG